UUCAAGUCUUCCCAAUGGAGACCCCAGAUCCCUUGGAAUAUAAGUCAUUCCCACUGUGCUGUUUGAAUGACCCACCCACAGAAUCGCUCUUUCUAGAUUGAUGACAAGAAGUAUUCCAUGCCUUGGGGAAGAAACUGGAAUUUCAAGCUGUACUUUGGAAGACAUCUUCUUCAGCUGGGUCCAAGUUUCAUUCCACUCUGAUCUGCUCCCUCACUCAAAGGGGAGUAGUAAUUCCAUCUUUGUCUAUCAAACUGGCCAAUGAGAUGGGGGUCACACGACAAUUGCUAUACGACCACCACUAUUGAUGCUGAUUUUCCAUGACUGACAGCAACCGAAUAAAAUUCUCUGGUCUUGAUAU